rnacentral:tRNA from 1 species
AAUUAGAAAGUAAUAAUUACAUUUAGUUUCGGCCUAAAAAUCUGGCUUCACUUUAGCCUCUAAUUU